rnacentral:rRNA from 1 species
GUAGGUGGCAAGCGUUGUCCGGAAUUAUUGGGCGUAAAGCGCGCGCAGGCGGUUCUUUAAGUCUGAUGUGAAAGCCCACGGCUCAACCGUGGAGGGUCAUUGGAAACUGGAGAACUUGAGUACAGAAGAGGAAAGCGGAAUUCCACGUGUAGCGGUGAAAUGCGUAGAGAUGUGGAGGAACACCAGUGGCGAAGGCGGCUUCCUGGUCUGUAACUGACGCUGAGGCGCGAAAGCGUGGGGGAGCAAACAGGAUUAGAUACCCUGGUAGUCCACGCCGUAAACGAUGAGUGCUAAGUGUUAGGGGGUUUCCGCCCCUUAGUGCUGCAGCUAACGCAUUAAGCACUCCGCCUGGGAGUACGGCCGCAAGGCUG